rnacentral:piRNA from 1 species
UCUGAGAGCUGACACACCCAACA